rnacentral:rRNA from 1 species
GAUGAACGCUGGCGGCGUGCCUAACACAUGCAAGUCGAACGAAGCACCUUACCGGAUUCUUCGGAUGAAAGUUUGGUGACUGAGUGGCGGACGGGUGAGUAACGCGUGGGUAACCUGCCCUGUACAGGGGGAUAACAGCUGGAAACGGCUGCUAAUACCGCAUAAGCGCACGAGGAGACAUCUCCUUGUGUGAAAAACUCCGGUGGUACAGGAUGGGCCCGCGUCUGAUUAGCUGGUUGGCAGGGUAACGGCCUACCAAGGCAACGAUCAGUAGCCGGUCUGAGAGGAUGAACGGCCACAUUGGAACUGAGACACGGUCCAAACUCCUACGGGAGGCAGCAGUGGGGAAUAUUGCACAAUGGGGGAAACCCUGAUGCAGCAACGCCGCGUGAGUGAAGAAGUAUUUCGGUAUGUAAAGCUCUAUCAGCAGGGAAGAUAAUGACGGUACCUGACUAAGAAGCUCCGGCUAAAUACGUGCCAGCAGCCGCGGUAAUACGUAUGGAGCAAGCGUUAUCCGGAUUUACUGGGUGUAAAGGGUGCGUAGGUGGCAGUGCAAGUCAGAUGUGAAAGGCCGGGGCUCAACCCCGGAGCUGCAUUUGAAACUGCUCGGUUAGAGUACAGGAGAGGCAGGCGGAAUUCCUAGUGUAGCGGUGAAAUGCGUAGAUAUUAGGAGGAACACCAGUGGCGAAGGCGGCCUGCUGGACUGUUACUGACACUGAGGCACGAAAGCGUGGGGAGCAAACAAAAUUAGAUACCCUGGUAGUCCACGCCGUA